AUGGCCUCAGAUGUGAAAAAAGGAGUAAUUCAAAUUGUCAACCGCCAAGUAAUGGAAAUCAGAGUGAAACAUGUAACACUUGUCGCACUGGAUUUUACGGGCAAUUUUGCACUAAUAUUUGUAGCCGUAACUGUUUUAACAAUAUUUGUGAUUCAAAAGAUGGUAAUUGCACACAGGGUUGUGAAUCUGAAUGGACUGGAGAGAAAUGUGACGUGAAAAGUUUAAUCAAGGCUUCCAAAAUCAACUUUGAAUUAUUGAUAAGCAUCUGCCUGGGAUUGUUGCUGGUCAUUUGCUGCUUAAUAUUCAUUAUAAGAAGAUGUGGAAGGUUUUUGUUUUCAGCCCCUUCAAAUACCUUCUCAAGUUCUACCACACAAGAAAC